rnacentral:rRNA from 1 species
GUGCACGCGUUAUCCGGAUUCACUGGGUUGAAAGGGUGCGUAGGUGGGAAAGUAAGUCAGUGGUGAAAUCUCCGUGCUUAACACGGAAACUGCCAUUGAUACUAUUUUUCUUGAAUUUUCUGGAGGUCAGCGGAAUAUGUCAUGUAGCGGUGAAAUGCUUAGAUAUGACAUAGAACACCAAUUGCGAAGGCAGCUGACUACAGGGAUAUUGACACUGAGGCACGAAAGCGUGGGGAUCAAACAGG